rnacentral:rRNA from 1 species
UACGAAGGGGGCUAGCGUUGUUCGGAAUUACUGGGCGUAAAGGGCGCGUAGGCGGCCCACCAAGUCAGAUGUGAAAGCCCCGGGCUUAACCCUGAAAUGGCAUUGAAUACUACUGUGCUGGAGGUUUGGAGGGGGGACUGGAAUUCUUGGUGUAGCAGUGAAAUGCGUAGAUAUCAAGAGGAACACCAGUGGCGAAGGCGAGUCCCUGGACAACACCUGACACUGAGGCACGAAAGCUAGGGGAGCAAACAGG